rnacentral:rRNA from 1 species
UACGAAGGGGGCUAGCGUUGCUCGGAAUCACUGGGCGUAAAGCGCACGUAGGCGGAUCUUUAAGUCAGGGGUGAAAUCCCGGGGCUCAACCUCGGAACUGCCUUUGAUACUGGGGAUCUCGAGUCCGGGAGAGGUGAGUGGAAUUGCGAGUGUAGAGGUGAAAUUCGUAGAUAUUCGCAAGAACACCAGUGGCGAAGGCGGCUCACUGGCCCGAUACUGACGCUGAGGUGCGAAAGCGUGGGGAGCAAACAGG